UACGGAAGGGGCUAGCGUUGUUCGGAAUUAUGCGUGGGCGUAAAGGGCGCGUAGGCGGCCCUGUCAAGUCAGGAUCGUGAAAGCCCCCGGGCUCAACCUGGGAACCGCAUUUGAUACUGCAGGGCUUGAGUUCCGGAGAGGAUGGUGGAAUUCCCAGUGUAGAGGUGAAAUUCGUAGAUAUUGGGAAGAACACCGGUGGC
rnacentral:rRNA from 1 species